rnacentral:rRNA from 1 species
UACGAAGGGGACUAGCGUUGUUCGGAAUCACUGGGCCUAAAGCGCACGUAGGCGGAUAUGUCAGUCAGGGGUGAAAUCCCGGGGCUCAACCUCGGAACUGCCUUUGAUACAGCAUGUCUUGAGUCCGAUAGAGGUGGGUGGAAUUCCUAGUGUAGAGGUGAAAUUCGUAGAUAUUAGGAAGAACACCGGUGGCGAAGGCGGCCCACUGGAUCGGUACUGACGCUGAGGUGCGAAAGCGUGGGGAGCAAACAGG